CCUCACAACAAUGAAAAGCAGUGUGAGUGGAGCCUACUAAGUCCCUUGGCCAACAGGGAAGCCAUUUCAGAGCCAGGUAGGCCCUGUGUGGAUGGGCAGGACAGCACAUCUAAGGUGAAAGAAGUGCUUCUCAUUUUAUAAAAUCAGUUUCCCAGAUUCCUUCCGGGAUGUGUCUAUAACCCACGCUGUGAGUUCUGAGGAAAGAGACUACUGAAGACAAAUCCAGGAGAGGCUACUGAGGAAAAAGGACUUGGCUUCCACCUGGGUCCUUACAGAAUACUGUUUCACACCUUCAUGGCCAUGCCUAUUACAUUGUUCAUUCCUCGUGUGUUUACAGUCUCCUCAACAUGGUGGGCACCAAAACAAAAUGUUGUAACUUCACUUCUGUGUAUGCACAGAUCCGAAGGAUACAAAGCACUUCAAGCUUUUACAUCAGGCUUUUACUUUUAAAUCACCAGAGGAGGAAAUAAAGCCCAGAUGAUGGUUCACGUAUUCACCUGGCAGCAGCAGCACAAGAAAUUAGGUCUGCAGUUUUCAUCACCUUCCUGACACUGUAUGUGACCCACGAAAGAAGAGAAUUCUCCAGUCUUCCUCUUUUCUAUCCUCAAACUCUUCACUGUAUGUGGCAACAUGGGCUCAUUAAUGAGAAUUUGUGGCUUUGGUCUUUCAAAAGCAACAAUGAGGUUCCUUAGGGAACUAUUGAACUCUUCUAUCAAUUGCAGAUGAAAAAGAAAUCAAUUUUGGUCCAAAUGACAAUAACUGUAUCAUCAUUUUAAAGCUUUUAAAACUAUUGAUUCAAUGAUUGCAAGAUUGUUUUUAUCUUUGACUUAGGUUCCUAUAAAAAUGUAAACUACAAAAUGAUAUUUUCCAAUAGUGCAGAUAAGCUCUAGAUAAAUUUGAAUGUUCAAAUAUUGCUGAGUAGUGGCUGUGCAUGCCUUUAUUCCCAGCACUUGGGAGACACAGGUAGGCAGAUUUCUGUGGGUUCAAGGUCAACCUAAACUGCAGGUAGAAUUACAGGCCAGCCAGGGAAACACUACAGUUUGUGAGGGAACAGGAACAACAAACUUGAGAUAAAGCUACUGUGUAUGCCCUUGUAAUGUGCUGCAAAGCAUCGGCUAGUGCUGCUGCCAGUGUGGAAGGCCAUUGCACCCUUAGCAGGGAGUGGGAAUGCCAGAGGGAGCUUCUAAGAGGACGAGUGGCUUAUGCCCAAUACUUGCCAAGCUUGGAAUUGAAUGAGGAUUACUUCAUUUUAUUUAUUCAAGAAAUUAAGUUAUGAUUUACACUUGUGUGUUAUUCUAUCCAAAUACAAUUUCUAGUUCUUUAAAGGUUCAUAUUCAUUCUCUGUCCAGUCAUGCUAUCCUGUAAACAGUAUUCAGUCACAAGAAUGUUUCAAUCUCUAUGCUCUUGCAUUAUUGAACACUCUGAAUAUUCCCCAGGCCUACUCACUCUGAAAACACUUUUCUACCAUAUGCAACUGUCUGAGAAAAUCUACUUGUAUGCAGUAGAUUGCUGUUAUUCAUUAUUCAUUACAACAUUAUUUAGUUGAACAACAUACCAUAGAAAACUUGGUUCUGUUGUGGGAAAUGUACAAACUCGGAGAACUAAAUUAUUUUACUAUAAAUGCUUUAAAAAGAGCAGGCUUUAUGGUCCUCAUUAUUUCCUCUGUGCUGAGGAAACAAGUUUUCUCCAAUGGAAAAUAAGCCAUAAAGGCAGAAGCUAUGUGAUACACUGUAUUCAAUAAAAGUUGGAGGUCUAGAUUCUGCUAGCAACACAGUAAAUGAAUACGAAAAUCUCAUUAAAAGUUUUACAAUUGACAAUCAAUAAGUAUUUAGUGAGUAGCCACUAUGUUCCAAGAACAACUUAAUUUCAAGAAAUACAAAUUUUAUCACCCAUAAAAUGUGGCUGCCCUAUACCCUUGAUUGAUAUUCCUCGACAUGUUGAGGUAAAGGACAUUUUUAACAAGAUAUAACUCUAACCAGUUGCUGUUUCUCUUUGCUACAAGAGGAAGUUCUACAAGAAGAAGGAAGGUUGCUAUAUUUCUUUGGGCAGUAGUAAGUAAUAAUAUUCCCAGUCAAAACUUAUCCAAUAUUAUAAACCAUUAGGUAUAAAAUAUUUUCCACACUUCAACUUCCCCAUGUCUCUUCUGACUUUGAUGUGCAGGAAAAUAACUAUUUUCUUACCAGAGGCUGGUUUGACCUACAGAAAAUUUAUAAAUAUUCUGCCUUGAAAGUUCUAGUUGUACAAAUGACCCCAAAAUAAUAACUCUAUCUUUUUAAAAUAUUUUAUUUGUGUGUGUUUGGGGGGGGGUAAGUGCAUACAUGCUCAUGAGAUCUCCAUGUAGCCUGAGCUUUUGACUCUUGUCCUCUGAGUUAACUGUUUCUGAAGGUCGUCUAAAAAUUUUAAAUUUUGAGUCUGAAACUUCCGGUGAGUAAAUAUGGUUGGGUGUGUGUCAUAGUUAACGGAACGUUUGUCUAGCAUACAGAAGACUGUGGUUUUCAUCAUCAUGGCUUCAAAGCAAGGCAUAUAGAUGCUUUCCCUGAUAUUACCUGAACUAUGCUGAACAUUGUUGUGUGUUAUUGUAUUACAGUUUUGCAAAUUGUUAGCAUUAGAGGAAACUGGGAAUGCAGUAUAACAGACUUCUUUGUAUGACUAAAAAAAUGCAUAUAAAUUUAUAAAUUAUUCUCAAUAGACAGCACAAACAUAGGCAAAUGCUAUGUUUUCUAAUUAGCUUUCCAGUAUGACUGAUGUAUAUCAGAGCAGAGAAAAAUUUGCAAGAUGGGGGAGGUGAGGUGUAGCUCAGUGGUACAGAGCUUGCCCUGCAUGCAUAAGGGUCUAGCUUCAACGUCAGUAUUGAAGAUCAGGGAAGGCCCAAAACAAGUGUAAAACUGAAGUUCAUAUUGAGGUUGAGCUUAAAGUUUACAAACAUAAAGUAGUUGAGAUCAAAAUAAUGAAUGUUGAAAUUCAUUAACUACAGCCAAAUGUGUCUUAGCUUCAUUUGCCUUGGGCAGAUACAUAUUUUAGAAAUGACAGCCAUUUAAAGCAUCUAAAUGAAGUAAAUUUUAAACCAGACUUCAAAUCACUAUUUCCACAAAUGUGAAGCUAACAUUUUCAAACUAAUAAAAUAUAAUGUCAUGGUUUUUAUUAAAAUAUUGUAAAUGAUAAUGUCUCAGUGAUUGUAAAGGCAUUUUGAACUAAAAAAGAAAUAACAUAAGGUUAUGAUUAGUUGCAUAUAAACUUGUGCUGUCAUAACUACAGUCAUUUAUGGGGAAGACAAUAUUCAAGUAUAUUUUUAUUAGAAUGUUGGUAUGUUUUCAUUGACUAGUACAUAAUGGAAAUGUACAGAGUACCUUGGUCUUCAAGAGACAGUGUGACUGACCUGAAAUAAAAGGAAUUUGUUUCCC
rnacentral:lncRNA from 1 species